rnacentral:rRNA from 1 species
GAUGAACGCUGGCGGCGUGCCUAAUACAUGCAAGUCGAGCGAAUGGAUUAAGAGCUUGCUCUUAUGAAGUUAGCGGCGGACGGGUGAGUAACACGUGGGUAACCUGCCCAUAAGACUGGGAUAACUCCGGGAAACCGGGGCUAAUACCGGAUAACAUUUUGAACCGCAUGGUUCGAAAUUGAAAGGCGGCUUCGGCUGUCACUUAUGGAUGGACCCGCGUCGCAUUAGCUAGUUGGUGAGGUAACGGCUCACCAAGGCAACGAUGCGUAGCCGACCUGAGAGGGUGGUCGGCAACACUGGAACUGAGACACGGCACAGACUCCUACGGGAGGCAGCAGUAGGGAAUCUUCCGCAAUGGACGAAAGUCUGACGGAGCAACGCCGCGUGAGUGAUGAAGGCUUUCGGGUCGUAAAACUCUGUUGUUAGGGAAGAACAAGUGCUAGUUGAAUAAGCUGGCACCUUGACGGUACCUAACCAGAAAGCCACGGCUAACUACGUGCCAGCCGCCGCAGUAA